rnacentral:rRNA from 2 species
AGACCCGAAACCCGGUGAUCUAGCCAUGGGCAGGUUGAAGGUUGGGUAACACUAACUGGAGGACCGAACCGACUAAUGUUGAAAAAUUAGCGGAUGACCUGUGGCUGGGGGUGAAAGGCCAAUCAAACCGGGAGAUAGCUGGUUCUCCCCGAAAGCUAUUUAGGUAGCGCCUCGUGAAUUCAUCUCCGGGGGUAGAGCACUGUUUCGGCUAGGGGGCCAUCCCGGCUUACCAACCCGAUGCAAACUGCGAAUACCGGAGAAUGUUAUCACGGGAGACACACGGCGGGUGCUAACGUCCGUCGUGAAGAGGGAAACAACCCAGACCGCCAGCUAAGGUCCCAAAGUCAUGGUUAAGUGGGAAACGAUGUGGGAAGGCCCAGACAGCCAGGAUGUUGGCUUAGAAGCAGCCAUCAUUUAAAGAAAGCGUAAUAGCUCACUGGUCGAGUCGGCCUGCGCGGAAGAUGUAACGGGGCUAAACCAUGCACCGAAGCUGCGGCAGCGAACGUAUCACUUAAAGCGAUUCAGCGGGUUACGAUUGACGGAGCGAAGCGACGUCAAAGCGUAUACAAAGUCGAGUCGGUUUAAGGAUACGUUCGUUGGGUAGGGGAGCGUUCUGUAAGCCUGUGAAGGUGUGUCGUGAGGCAUGCUGGAGGUAUCAGAAGUGCGAAUGCUGACAUAAGUAACGAUAAAGCGGGUGAAAAGCCCGCUCGCCGGAAGACCAAGGGUUCCUGUCCAACGUUAAUCGGGGCAGGGUGAGUCGACCCCUAAGGCGAGGCCGAAAGGCGUAGUCGAUGGGAAACGGGUUAAUAUUCCCGUACUUGGUGUUACUGCGAAGGGGGGACGGAGAAGGCUAUGUUGGCCGGGCGACGGUUGUCCCGGUUUAAGCGUGUAGGCUGGUUUUCCAGGCAAAUCCGGAAAAUCAAGGCUGAGGCGUGAUGACGAGGCACUACGGUGCUGAAGCAACAAAUGCCCUGCUUCCAGGAAAAGCCUCUAAGCAUCAGGUAACAUCAAAUCGUACCCCAAACCGACACAGGUGGUCAGGUAGAGAAUACCAAGGCGCUUGAGAGAACUCGGGUGAAGGAACUAGGCAAAAUGGUGCCGUAACUUCGGGAGAAGGCACGCUGACA